GAUGAACGCUAGCGGCAGGCCUAAUACAUGCAAGUCGGACGGGAUCGGGGAGCUUGCUCCCCGUGAGAGUGGCGCACGGGUGCGUAACACGUAUGUAACCUACCUUUAUCAGGGGGAUAGCCUCUCGAAAGAGAGAUUAACACCGCAUAACAUCACAUGAUAGCAUUAUCGAGUGAUCAAAUAUUCAUAGGAUAAAGAUGGGCAUGCGGGACAUUAGCUAGUUGGCGGGGUAACGGCCCACCAAGGCGACGAUGUCUAGGGGAUCUGAGAGGAUGACCCCCCACACUGGUACUGAGACACGGACCAGACUCCUACGGGAGGCAGCAGUGGGGAAUUGUUCGCAAUGGGCGCAAGCCUGACGACGCAACGCCGCGUGGAGGAUGAAGAUCUUCGGGUCGUAAACUCCUUUCGAUCGAGACGAAUUCCCCUGGGGUGAACAAUCCCGGGGGUUGACGGUACCGAGAGAAGAAGCCCCGGCUAACUCCGUGCCAGCCGCCGCAGUAACAC
rnacentral:rRNA from 1 species